CCGCGCGAGCGUCCUGAGGCGAGAGUUAGCAUGGCAGCUAAGCGCUUCAUGUAGAGGUGUAGGGUAAAGUUUCGGCACUUUGAUGUUGCAACUAUAGUCUAAACUUUUUGUUAAUAUAUUUAUAUUUAUUUACACAUGACAUCCUUAUAAUUCUGUUAAACUAAAAUGCUAUUUUUUCACUACAAUUUAAUGUUUGCUGAUUAUUUCGCUUUCUAGAGAAACCAUUCAGUCAGAUUCCUUCAUGUUUAUUUAUAUCUGUAUUUUAUUUAUUCACCUCAGAUUAUUUAUUUACCUCAGAUUAUUUAUUGUCAGAUUAUUUACUGUCAUUAUUUAUUCACCUCGGACUAUUUAUUCACCUCAGAUUAUUUAUUGGUGUUCAGCCUCCACCAUGUUUUUGGUUGUAAAAUACAGAGCUAUUGACUACAACCAUGAGGCUUCAGCACUGCGCAGGAUGACCCUGAGUUCCCUGGCUCUCCCGGUUCCUCUCCAGCUGGACAAUAACAUGUACCCUCACUCAUGCAGGCUGCAGGACGAUUCGUACAGGAGGCCGUGGUGUGGAGGUUUGUGUACGCCAUUUAAACUGGAGUACACACACUCUGUGUUCGACUGUCUGAGGGAGGAGCUGUGUGCAGUGGAGUGUGUGGAAAGGUUUAGGGUGUGCACGGGUGAGUUGGGAGAAGACGUGGUGCCGAGCUCUAAUCCUGCAUCUCCGAGGUUUGUGGAGUCUCAGGAAGCUCUGCGUCUGCUGAAGGGAGGAGAUAGAGCAGCUGAUCAGGACGAAUGGACCGAGAGCUUUAGUGAGGUUGAUCUACACUCAGUCUACUUCAGUGAACAAGAUCUGUUCCUUCCUGAGGAGGUGUUCUUCAGUGAUAAUCAGCUGAAGAGUUUUCUCCCUUCACUCACCACAAUGCUGAAGAGAUUAAAACCGUAUCCCGUGUCACAUCUACUGGAUCACCAUCAAACCGAAUCAUUGCUUUAUGAACACCUUAUGAUCAGGGAGUUUUCUCUGUACUCUGACGUGCCGUAUAAAGGUCCUGUGAGCUCUUCAUCUCCUCAGUAUGAUGUUGAAGAGUUCGGGAAAGAGAUGAUCCUGGGUGCAGAGGAUCUCAUGCUGCCAGAUUUCAUUGAAACCGAUGUGCCACAGAACCAAGAGCUGAUUACAUGUUCCAUAAUAAAACACAGAGAAGCUCUGAAUCUGACUCCAGAACCAGUUGAAGAACACGGUUCUGUACUGGAGGCACUGCUGAAAGGUGAGACUGUUUAGCAUCGUGUCUGCUCUGGACGUCUCAUGUGAUAAACAGAACAGGUUUGAUUAUAUUGUGUGCAUUAAGGUUUGAUUUAUGAUCCAUGUGUGUAUCAUUGCAGUAUAAUAGAGUUACAUUCCAUCAUAUCCAUGUAGUCCUGAAUCAUUAUAUUAGUGUGUAAUAAAGAUUUAUGAGUGUGUGUUUCUGCAGGCGUGGUCACUUCAUCAGAGUGGGAGACUUUCAGGUCUCCUGUGAUGGACAUCACCGAUUCUGCCUGUGAAAGAACAGUCUCUCCAAUUCCAUUCAGGUCCUAUGUGGAACUGGAGAUGGACCUGAUAUUGUCCCUCCUCCUCCUCCU